CUUCUCACAAAGUCAGUGAUGAACCCCAUCCAAUUUCUAAAAUCUUCGAAUAACUCCAUGGAUCAUGAAACCCAGGAGCUCUCUCUUUUUUUUCCAGAAAAAGAUUUCUCCUGCCUGCGCCUAGCAAAAUAAGCAAAAUGCAAACUAAAUAAAGAGUAGUCUACCUAAAAAAUA